rnacentral:rRNA from 1 species
GACGAAUGAUGGAGGAGGGAGGAACACAUGCAAGUCGAACGGAAAGGCCCUGCUUUUGUGGGGUGCUCGAGUGGCGAACGGGUGAGUAACACGUGAGUAACCUGCCCUUGACUUUGGGAUAACUUCAGGAAACUGGGGCUAAUACCGGAUAGGAGCUCCUGCUGCAUGGUGGGGGUUGGAAAGUUUCGGCGGUUGGGGAGGGACUCGCGGCUUAUCAGCUUGUUGGUGGGGUAGUGGCUUACCAAGGCUUUGACGGGUAGCCGGCCUGAGAGGGUGACCGGCCACAUUGGGACUGAGAUACGGCCCAGACUCCUACGGGAGGCAGCAGUGGGGAAUAUUGCACAAUGGGCGGAAGCCUGAUGCAGCAACGCCGCGUGCGGGAUGACGGCCUUCUGGUUGUAAACCGCUUUCGCCUGUGACGAAGCGUGAGUGACGGUAAUGGGUAAAGAAGCACCGGCUAACUACGUG